rnacentral:rRNA from 1 species
GCUCAGUAACACGUGGAGAACGUGCCCUUAAGUGGAGGAUAAUCUCGGGAAAUUGAGGAUAAUACUCCAUAGAUCAUGAGAUCUGGAAUGACUCAUGGUUCAAAGUUCCGGCGCUUAAGGAUCGCUCUGCGGCCUAUCAGGUAGUAGUGGGUGUAAAGUACCCCCUAGCCUACGACGGGUAUGGGCCUUGAGAGAGGGAGCCCAGAGUUGGAUUCUGAGACACGAAUCCAGGCCCUACGGGGCGCAGCAGUCGCGAAAACUUCACACUGGGGGAACCCCGAUGAGGGAAAUCCUAGUGCUAGGACAUUUGUUCUAGCUUUUCUCAAGCGUAGAUAACUUGAGGAAUAAGGGCUGGGUAAGACGGGUGCCAGCCGCCGCGGUAAUACCUGCAGCCCAAGUGGUGGUCGAUUUUAUUGAGUCUAAAACGUUCGUAGCCGGUUUGAUAAAUCUUUGGGUAAAUCGGGAAGCUUAACUUUCCGACUUCCGAAGAGACUGUCAAACUUGGGACCGGGAGAGGCUAGAGGUACUUCUGGGGUAGGGGUAAAAUCCUGUAAUCCUAGAAGGACCACCGGUGGCGAAGGCGUCUAGCUAGAACGGAUCCGACGGUGAGGGACGAAGCCCUGGGUCGCAAACGGGAUUAGAUACCCCGGUAGUCCAGGGUGUAAACGCUGCAGACUUGGUGUUGGAGGCCCUUCGGGGGCAUUCAGUGCCGGAGAGAAGUUGUUAAGUCUGCUACUUGGGGAGUACGUCCGCAAGGAUGAAACUUUAAAGGAAUUGGCGGGGGAGCAC